AUAAUUUUGAUACUUAUCUUAAUAAACUUCAGUCUCUCUGUAUGGAUAGUUACAGAGAUGAAAAUAAAACUGUCUUUAAUUCUGUCAAACAAGCACUUCAAGAUUUUACUAUGCCAUUACAUCCCACUGACUGGGUGAGAUCCUGAAUGUAAGUUUCAGCAAAUGUUGUUAAAUGCCCUGUUUGUGAUACAGGGACAUUGUUAGAAAUGUUUAGAAUUCAAUACAAGAAUUUGUGAGACUUUUUGCACAAUUGUUCUGUAGUUGAAAAGUCAGGACAUUAAAAUCGAUCAUGGUGUCGAAGAUUUUUGAAUCUAAGCUUUGCUAGAAUUUCUUUGGUGUACUCUACUUGAAAAGAACUGGAGACAUACGAUAUGUACAUUCAUGAUCUUUGGGGAAAUCAGGUGAGGAGCAUACGGGAAUUCUCCUAUGACAUUACAAAGUGUGUACAUGUACAUUUAGCUACUAUCAACUGUUAUGAGAAGUGUAAAUUGAAACACAAAAAGA